GGCUGGGAGGUUGCGGAGCAGCUCUGCCCCCCUCUUUUUCUCCUCCUCCCCAUCCUGCCCUGCCCCGUCCCGCCCAGCCCCUGCUCUUGCACCUGUCUCAGCGCCCCAAACGGAGCUGAUGGGGCUGCGGGGCGGAGAGAAAGAACGAGGAGAAGCAGCAGCAGUAGCAGCAGUAGCUCUGAGCAGCUUCUCGGAGGUUUUCACAACCCUGUUGCUGCAGCCAGCACGGAUCCCAAUGCCGUGGCUACAAAGGCUUGUUACUUUCUCAUGCUGGAUCCCUCAAAUCCAAGAGCUACUUGGCAGUUUCCAAGGCAACCACCUGUGGAAUAAUUAAAAAGGAUGAAGUGUUAGCGCGGAAGAUAGAAAGAAUUCUUGCCUGGAGAGAGCACUCCAUUUUCAUCUAUCUUGAAGAAUCAAAUGCAUUUCUGCCAGCAAAGUUAAGAAGAAGAAAUGAUGAUUGAGUUAUACGAGUGAACCAGGACAGUCGAAAAAAUUGUUCCUGAUCUAACUUGAAGAAUGAGACCAACCUACAGGAAUGCAAGAAGGAGUGGAAGGGGUUUGGGGGCUCCAGAGCUUGUUGGUAUUUUCUGUAAUAUCAGUCGGUGUAAGGAAAGCUUUAACUUAAUGUAAGGCUGCUGUAUUUUUGGCUGAGCAUUUUCAAAUAUAUAAGAACCAUUUAUUUGAGAGUGCUGUAUGUGUUUGUGGUUUAGUGCAGGAGUUUUUUUCAGUGAUAUUUUGGAUAGUAAGCCUUACAGGUCAUCUUUCUGAUUCACUUGUAGUAGACAGUGGCGAAUUUUAAAGAUAAAUGCUUUUUUACUGUCUUGAACAGACAGUCCUACGAGAUAACAACAUCCACAUUGCAGUUGUAAUAACAAAACCUAAGAUUAUUCUGAAUUUGGUUUCACACUGGCUAGCAAGUGGAGUCAUUAAAAGACUGCGUGAGGUAUUCUGUGUAUUGUUGACUCAACUUUAAAAUAUCUGUAAGUCUGCAAAGGGUGUCUCAGCUUUCUUACUAAGGGAUGAGUAUGUUUUUAACACAUAGGUUUUAAAAUGAUUUAUGAUUCGUUUGUCAGCCUUUUUGGCUUUAUUUAUAAUUUUUUAUUACUUAUAUGAAUGUCAGUUUAAUUUAUACCUGUGCCUCUUUUUAGUCUGAAAAGUUUUAAGUAAUUCUGCAGACUUGCUUUUUAUAGAUAGUUUCUAUUUAAAAAAGAAGGGGGGGAUAGAACAUGUGUCAGGCAUAUGCAAUUCCCUCAGUGUCAUGUUUUCCACACUCAUUUAAUAGCUAUUGAGUCUCCUCAGAUAUUCUUGUUUCCAAGACCUGUUUUAUGGUAAUAAAUAUUCUUGGCUGUAAAAUUCUUGAAAUGGUUGAGUAGAAUGAUUGUCUCCUUAGCACAUUCCCUGAGACAUCGUAGUUAGAAAUGGAAAAGCCCUUAACCAGGUCAGUUUUUUCCUGCAAUACAUGUAGUCAGUGCUGGAAGUGA